rnacentral:rRNA from 1 species
CCACCGCGGUUAGACGAGAGGCCCCAGUUGAUAUUACAACGGCGUAAAGGGUGGUUAAGGACAAAAAAAAUAAAGCCAAAUGGCCCUUCGGCCGUCAUACGCUUCUAGGUGUCCGAAGCCCUAAUACGAAAGUAGCUUUAAUAGACUACCUGAACCCACGAAAGCUGAGAAACAAACUGGGAUUAGAUACCCCACUAUGCUCAGCCAUAAACUUAGACAUCCAACUACAAUUAGAUGUCCGCCAGGGUACUACGAGCAUUAGCUUAAAACCCAAAGGACCUGACGGUGUCUCAGACCCCCCUAGAGGAGCCUGUUCUAGAACCGAUAAUCCCCGUUUAACCUCACCACUUCUAGCCACCCCAGCCUAUAUACCGCCGUCGUCAGCUUACCCUGUGAAGGAAAUAAAAGUAAGCAAAAUGGGCACAACCCAGAACGUCAGGUCGAGGUGUAGCGCAUGAAAUGGAAAGAAAUGGGCUACAUUUUCUGACACAGAAUAUUACGAACAUGUACCAUGAAAUAGUACCUGAAGGAGGAUUUAGUAGUAAAAGGGAAGUAGAGUGUCCCUUUGAACCCGGCUCUGAGACGCGUACACACCGCCCGUCACUCUCCCCUGUCAAAACGCACUAAAAAUACUUAAUACAAAAGCACCGACAAGGGGAGGCAAGUCGUAACACG